CCUACGGGAGGCAGCAGUGGGGAAUCUUGCACAAUGGGGGAAACCCUGAUGCAGCGACGCCGCGUGAGUGAAGAAGUAUUUCGGUAUGUAAAGCUCUGUCCUCAAGGAAGAUAAUGACGGUACUUGAGGAGGAAGCCACGGAUAACUACGUACCAGCACCAGCGGUAAUACGUAGGGGGCUAGCGUUAUCCGGAUUUACUGGGCGUAAAGGGUGCGUAGGUGGUUUCUUGAGUCAGAGGUGAACGGGUACGGCUCAACCGUAGUAAGCCGUUGACACUGGCAGUCUCGAGUUGGAGAGGAGUAUGCGGAAGGCGCGGUGUAGCGGUGAAAUGCAUAGAUAUCGCGCAGAACUCUGAUUGCGAAGGCAGCAUGCCGGCUCCACACUGACGCUGAGGCACGAAAGCGUGGGUAUCGAACAGGAUUAGAUACCCGAGUAGUC
rnacentral:rRNA from 1 species